ensembl:lncRNA
AUAAUUACUUUCUCUCCCUUGAAGGUUUCAAUGGAGAGAAAGUAAUUAUUCUGGUCCCCACGCUAGAGUGGUGAGGUCACGCCCCUUCCGGUAGAGCCCAUGGGACCUAUGAGAUCGAAAAAUAUGAAUGGGUUUCAAUGGAGAGAAAGUCAUUAUUUUCUGGUCCCAGUCUUAAUAUGCCCUGGAUUACAAAAAUCCAUAAAGUGGAUUUAUUGCCUGAUUCACUUGCUAUCACUCCGUUAAAGUAGUCCGGUAAGCGUGUCCGGUUGCUAAGCGACGGGACAUGGGUGUUUAUUAAUGACGUGUUCGCUUAUCGUAGUGUCCGCGCACGUCCGAGAUAACUGUAAAUGAGUAGGCUACUACUAGUACUUUUGCAGGCUGAAUGUUAAAAUACUUCUUAACUUAGAGAGAUGGCAGCUGCAGUAGUUCGCAAUUGGACCUUCGAGGAUUCCUGGUCACUAAAUUCCCGUAAGACCACUCUCUCCCACCAGUCUUGGCUGCGGACUCGCAUCCAAAUUCCUCUUGUUUGCGGCGGAGCUGGGGUCCUUAGGGGGCUUUUAUUUUGCCUAUUAAAUUCGCGUAUAUAUAAGGUGAUGCACUUCCCGUCGACCUCUUCUGCUUCUACAACCGCGUGUCAUAAAGCUGUGGAGAUGAGCAGCCAAAGAGUUGGAGACGUUCCGUCUGAAGCUUGUACCGUUGAUCAAGCCCAUCUGCCAAAGAUGCAGACAUUUUGUGUGAAGCUCGUAACGUCGAUCCAGCUGGUCCACAGCCAAAGAUGCAGACAUUUUGUGUGAAGCCCGUAUCGUCGAUCCCGCUGGUCCACAGCCAAAGAUGCAGACAUUUUGUGUGAAGCCCGUAUCGUCGAUCCCGCUGGUCCACAGUCAAAGAUGCAGACAUUUUGUGUGAAGCUUGUAUCGUCGGUCCAGCUGGUCCACAGCCAAAGAUGCAGACAUUUUGUGUGAAGCCCGUAUCGUCGAUCCCGCUGGUCCACAGCCAAAGAUGCUGACAUUUUGUGUGAGGCUCGCAUCGUCGAUCCAGCUGUUCCACAGGUUGUUCGGACCUGGCAAUUGUAGAACAUCAUGCUGGUUCUACAGACACGGAAGGCACAAAGCACUGCAGACGGAAGAACCUACCAGUUCCUGAGGCAAGUUUUAUCCAGCCGGCAGAGGGUUGUCAUGGAGCUGAUUGUCAAAUACACAAUAUUUGUAUUUUGUACUGCAGAAACUGCAUUUUAGGGCUGGCUGUUUUCUGAACUUGACAUUGCCAAAUGUGAACAAUAAAAUGUUGUUGAAAAACGGGAAUUGUUUGGCUGUUAUGGUAAUAUUAUUUAACUUGAAUUAAUUUACAAUUAGGAGGUCAUCCAUACAGAAACUAUUCCAUCAUGGUCAUAUGCAUAUAUAUACUAUACAAAUAUAUUUAACUGUAAUAUUGAUAAUGCAUUA